rnacentral:rRNA from 1 species
GACGAACGCUGGCGGCGUGCUUAACACAUGCAAGUCGAACGGAAAGGCCCAGCUUGCUGGGUGCUCGAGUGGCGAACGGGUGAGUAACACGUGGGUGAUCUGCCUCUAACUUCGGGAUAAGCUUGGGAAACUGGGUCUAAUACCGGAUAGGACAAUCGUUUAGUGUCGGUUGUGGAAAGUUUUUUCGGUUAGGGAUGAGCCCGCGGCCUAUCAGCUUGUUGGUGGGGUAAUGGCCUACCAAGGCGUCGACGGGUAGCCGGCCUGAGAGGGUGGACGGCCACAUUGGGACUGAGAUACGGCCCAGACUCCUACGGGAGGCAGUAGUGGGGAAUAUUGCACAAUGGGCGCAAGCCUGAUGCAGCGACGCCGCGUGGGGGAUGACGGCCUUCGGGUUGUAAACCUCUUUCGACAGGGACGAAGCUUUGGUGACGGUACCUGUAUAAGAAGCACCGGCUAACUACGUG